rnacentral:rRNA from 1 species
AUUAAACGCUGGCGGCAUGCCUUACACAUGCAAGUCGAACGGCAGCACGGGGGCAACCCUGGUGGCGAGUGGCGGACGGGUGAGUAAAGCAUCGGAACGUAUCCUGGAGUGGGGGGAUAACGUAGCGAAAGUUACGCUAAUACCGCAUAUUCUGUGAGCAGGAAAGCAGGGGAUCGCAAGACCUUGCGCUCUGGGAGCGGCCGAUGUCGGAUUAGCUAGUUGGUGGGGUAAAGGCCUACCAAGGCGACGAUCCGUAGCGGGUCUGAGAGGAUGAUCCGCCACACUGGGACUGAGACACGGCCCAGACUCCUACGGGAGGCAGCAGUGGGGAAUUUUGGACAAUGGGCGGAAGCCUGAUCCAGCCACGCCGCGUGAGUGAAGAAGGCC